UACGUAGGGGGCAAGCGUUGUCCGGAUUUAUUGGGCGUAAAGAGCGUGUAGGCGGCCAGGUAGGUCAGCUGUGAAAACUCGAGGCUCAACCUCGAGACGCCGGUUGAAACCAUCUGGCUAGAGUCCGGAAGAGGAGAGUGGAAUUCCUGGUGUAGCGGUGAAAUGCGCAGAUAUCAGGAAGAACACCCGUGGCUAAGGCGGCUCUCUGGGCCUGUGCUGACGCUGAGGAGCGAAAGCGUGGGGAGCGAACAGG
rnacentral:rRNA from 1 species